ACUAAAGAGGGGGCUUCAAUUUGAGAUGGUCUUCUUCUCGAGAUUAAGCCCAUUGGGCUUCAAUUUGAGGUUUUAUGGUGUAUAGUAUACCACAGUUUUUUGUCAAAGAAAAUUUGAUAAUGUGGAGAGUGCUUUACUUUACACAGUUAUCUACUCAUCAAUGUAUGAAAAUAAUGAUAUUUACGAUGAUUUUUAAAUAAAAAAGACAUUGAAACAUAAACAUUGUAAUCUUGUAAUUUGGAAGACUUAAUGUAUGUACACAGAUAAUUUGAAUAGCACCUGUAACUAGGUUUUCAGGUGUUUUGAUGAAGUAUCAGGUCAUGUGACCAAAGAGUGUAAUGCCCAAUACGAAGGUGUGGACACCCAAAGGGUGUCACCAACCACGGUGUUCCUAUAUACUUUUGGACAUCUCUUAUAUAAUUACUGUACCUCAAUUUUCGUAAACUAAUUUGCUGAAUAUAACAUUAAAUUUUUAUAUUAGUUUUGCUAUUACGGGUGUAUUAUUACAUGCCCUUAAGCAGCAGAGCGCCCCCUACAAUUUUCAAACUUUGUAAGGUAUCAAAAAAUACAUUAUUUCAAAUAAAACUUUAUUCAAUUUAAGUUAAUAUUUUUGUUUUGCAUAUUGUUUUCUUUUCCCUCUGCGAUAUUUUUCAUGUGGGCUCUUUGAAAAUAUGUUUUGGUUUUUUAAAUCCAAAUGAAUAAAUACAAGUUUACGAAAUUCUAACAAUUUGUUAAAAGUGCACGCAAGUUAGCUUGAUUAUAUUCUGAAAUCUAAAAAGGUCACCACAGCAAGAAGCUCCACACACAAGUCAUAGGAUGAAUAACUUAACAAAUGGAUAAUUUAACAACAUGUCCGUAAGAUAAAAAAAAAAAAAAACACUUUCAAAAAGUUUACAUUAGAAAAGACAUUGCAUAGCUUUUAUGCAAGGAAACCAAAGUACAAAAACCCUUAAAAUAUUAUCCAUAGCAUAUUCUAAAAAAUGUACAUAAAGAAAAAAUGUCUAUCACAAAAAGCCCAACAUGAUAAAUGUAUAAAAUUGAAAUAUUCAACUGCAUUUAUCAUGGUUUAAGAUCUUUGUAUGCACACAUUUUUUUUACAUAUAUAUUAUCUUUUUUUCAUUGAUGGAAUGAUUUUAUAACUCAACCACAGUUCAACUAAAUGCAUUUUUUCUUCAUAACUUUGAAUAUUUCAUCAAGCUUAUGUUUUAAUUGCUUUUUUGUUUUAUAUAUUUAUUAGUUACCAAUUAAAGGGUUGGGGAGAAUUGAAUUAAGUAGUAAGAAUGAAAUAACUACUUAAAAAUAUUGAGCAAAAUCUUUUGUAAACUAAAUCCAUAUCUAACACAUCAAGAAAGAUUUUAAGUAGCAGCAGCAGAUAUUUUUUUUCACAUAAUAUAAAUAAAUACAUCGGUUAGAAAAAUCCAACAUAAAUUUUUUUUUCCCAGGUAGUAGUAGUAUUCUUGAUUUCAAAGUAUAACUCCAGAGGUAUAUAUUAAUACAGUACAAUCU